GACGAACGCUGGCGGCGUGCCUAAUACAUGCAAGUUGAGCGAUGAAGAUUGGUGCUUGCACCAAUUUGAAGAGCAGCGAACGGGUGAGUAACGCGUGGGGAAUCUGCCUUUGAGCGGGGGACAACAUUUGGAAACGAAUGCUAAUACCGCAUAACAACUUUAAACAUAAGUUUUAAGUUUGAAAGAUGCAAUUGCAUCACUCAAAGAUGAUCCCGCGUUGUAUUAGCUAGUUGGUGAGGUAAAGGCUCACCAAGGCGAUGAUACAUAGCCGACCUGAGAGGGUGAUCGGCCACAUUGGGACUGAGACACGGCCCAACCUCCUACGGGAGGCAGCCGUAGGGAAUCUUCGGCAAUGGACGAAAGUCUGACCGAGCAACGCCGCGUGAGUGAAGAAGGUUUUCGGAUCGUAAAACUCUGUUGGUAGAGAAGAACGUUGGUGAGAGUGGAAAGCUCAUCAAGUGACGGUAACUACCCAGAAAGGGACGGCUAACUACGUG
rnacentral:rRNA from 1 species